AUUGAACGCUGGCGGCAGGCCUAACACAUGCAAGUCGAACGAGUGGCGGACGGGUGAGUAAUGUCUGGGAAACUGCCAGAUGGAGGGGGAUAACUGCUGGAAACGGUGGCUAAUACCGCAUACCAUCGGAUGUGCCGAGAUGGGAGUAGCUAGUCGGUGGGGUAACGGCUCACCUAGGCGACGAUCCCGACCUGGUCAGAGAGGAUGACCAGCCACACUGGAACUGAGACACGGUCCAGACUCCUACGGGAGGCAGCAGUGGGGAAUAUUGCACAAUGGGCGCAAGCCUGAUGGAGCCAUGCCGCGUGUGUGAAGAAGGCCUUCGGGUCGUAAAGUACUUUCAGCGAGGAGGCGGUACUCGGCGAGGAAGCACCGGCUAACUCCGUGCCAGCAGCCGCGGUAAUUC
rnacentral:rRNA from 1 species